rnacentral:rRNA from 1 species
ACGGGAGGCAGCAGUGGGGAAUAUUGGACAAUGGGGGCAACCCUGAUCCAGCGACGCCGCGUGAGUGAAGAAGUAUUUCGGUAUGUAAAGCUCUAUCAGCAGGGAAGAAAAUGACGGUACCUGACUAAGAAGCCCCGGCUAACUACGUGCCAGCAGCCGCGGUAGUACGUAGGGGGCAAGCGUUAUCCGGAUUUACUGGGUGUAAAGGGAGCGUAGACGGCGAUGCAAGUCUGAAGUGAAAGCCCGCGGCUUAACUGCGGAACUGCUUUGGAAACUGUAUUGCUAGAGUGUCGGAGAGGUGAGUGGAAUUCCCAGUGUAGCGGUGAAAUGCGUAGAUAUUGGGAGGAACACCGGCGGCGAAGGCGGCUCACUGGACGAUAACUGACGUUGAGGCUCGAAAGCGUGGGGAGCAAACAGGAUUAGAUACCCUGGUA